rnacentral:sRNA from 1 species
UGUCCGUCUCAGUUGGCGCGCGCGCCGCG